UCCAGACUCCUACGGGAGGCAGCAGUGAGGAAUAUUGGUCAAUGGUCGGGAGACUGAACCAGCCAAGCCGCGUGAGGGAUGAAGGUACAGAGUAUCGUAAACCUCUUUUGUCAGGGAACAAAGGCGGGGACGUGUCCCCGGAUGAGUGUACCUGAAGAAAAAGCAUCGGCUAACUCCGUGCCAGCAGCCGCGGUAAUACGGAGGAUGUGAGCGUUAUCCGGAUUUAUUGGGUUUAAAGGGUGCGUAGGCGGAGUGUCAAGUCAGCGGUAAAAUUUCGGGGCUCAACCCCGUCGUGCCGUUGAAACUGACGCCCUUGAGUGAGUGAGAAGUAAGCGGAAUGCGUGGUGUAGCGGUGAAAUGCAUAGAUAUCGCGCAGAACUUCGAUUGCGAAGGCAGCAUGCCGGCUCCACACUGACGCUGAGGCACGAAAGCGUGGGUAUCGAACAGGAUUAGAUACCCCUGUA
rnacentral:rRNA from 1 species